UACGGGGGGGGCAAGCGUUGUUCGGAAUUACUGGGCGUAAAGGGCGCGUAGGCGGUUUGCUAAGUUGGAUGUGAAAACUCUGGGCUUAACCCAGAGCCUGCAUCCAAAACUAGCAGGCUAGAGUUCUGGAGGGGAUAGCGGAAUUCCUGGUGUAGCGGUGAAAUGCGUAGAUAUCAAGAGGAACACCUGAGGUGAAGACGGGUUGCUGGGCUGACACUGACGCUGAGGCGCGAAAGCCAGGGGAGCAAACGGG
rnacentral:rRNA from 1 species